rnacentral:rRNA from 1 species
UGGGGAAUAUUGCACAAUGGGCGAAAGCCUGAUGCAGCAAUGCCGCGUGUGUGAAGAAGGCCUGCGGGUUGUAAAGCACUUUCGGUAGGGAAGAUAAUGACGGUACCUACAGAAGAAGCACCGGCUAACUCCGUGCCAGCAGCCGCGGUAAUACGGAGGGUGCGAGCGUUAAUCGGAAUUACUGGGCGUAAAGCGCGCGUAGGCGGCUUUGUAAGUCGGAUGUGAAAGCCCCGGGCUUAACCUGGGAAUUGCAUUCGAUACUGCAUAGCUAGAGUAUGGUAGAGGGUAGCGGAAUUCCGGGUGUAGCGGUGAAAUGCGUAGAUAUCAAGAGGAACACCUGAGGCGAAGGCGGGUUGCUGGGCUGAUACUGACGCUGAGGCGCGAAAGCUAGGGUAGCAAACGGGAUUAGAUACCCCUGUAGUCCCUGAGCGGGCUGGCAAGGCGCAU